CCUUAGGCACAAUUGAGUAAUCCUUACAUCAUGGACUGUUAGGGGGUACUUGAGGACUGGGUUGGGAACCACUGUGCUACAUAAAGAUGGCUGACCCUCUGUAGCCCUGUUUAUUUGAUGCCUCUAGAAUCUUGGGCUCUCAUCCCUGGUGGAAAUGCUCUUUUUCUCAAAAAUGGCAUUAGUGGCGAUGGAAAUGAAGCCAAUUCAAACUUCUCUGCGUUCUUGCUCCAGACCUGGAGGGAGUUUUUUUUUUUACAAUUGUUAAUGCACAGUUCUUUAAUUUGCACACAAUUAAUUGAAGCCACCUAUUGACCAAGCAUGUAUUUUUUUAACAAUUUCAUAUCAGAGCACAGUAAACAUAGAAGAUGCAAUUAAAAACAG